GGCGGGGGAGUGGGAAGGGCGCCCUCCUUUACCGAACCCCUUUUCCGGGGGCAAAUUGGGGGAAUACUCCACACACUGCCCACUUCGGGCCGUAUAAACUCCCUUCUUGUACCCCUCUGCUGCCACCAAAUCCCUGCACAUACUCCUGAGCCCCCAGGACCGCACAGGAGACAUUGUUAUGGACGGGGACGCCGUCUGUCCGAAGGUGGAGCCGAUUGGCUCCGUCUGGGAAAAACCUGUGGGUGGUGUUGAGGGUGAGGGAGGACAAGGUCAGUGAACUCUUGAGAGCCCUCUGAGGCCCCGCCCAUCCCUCCCGUUCCUACUAGGCUCCCUCCCGAGCGGCGGGUACGAGAAAGCGCAGGCGCAAUUGCAUAGCUCUUGCCCCAGCGGAAGCCACGCCCCUCCCCCAAGCCUUAAAGGGCCAGAAACAGCUCCUACAGCUCCAGCCCUUCCGCACUUUCGGGGGGCGGGGGCGCGCAGGCGCAGUGGAGGCACUCUGCGGUGUGGGUAGCGGUCGCGUAUCAAGUUGCUCUCUGUCCCGGCAGAAGAAGCCAGGGUGCAGAGGGUCCAGGCUCCAUUUUGCUACCCAUUACAUCAAUUGGAAGAGAAAAGUUUGUGAGUUGGGCCCCCAAGUUUGGGGGGACCCGGGCUUGCGGCGUGGAGUGACAGAGGAGGCUCGUUGGAGCUUCCCCAUGGAGCCCACCCAGCCUGCAGAGGAUCUCAGCCUGACCCAGCAGCCUUCUACCCCAGAAUUUGGGGACCCCGAAGACCCCAGGGGUGAGGCCCCUGACGGCUCAGACACUGUGGUCCUCAGUCUCUUCCCUUGCACCCCGGAGCCUGGGAAUCCUGAACCAGAUGCUGGUACCUCCUCAUCUCAAGCAGGCAGCUCCCUAAAGCACUCCACGACCCUCACCAACCGGCAGCGGGGGAAUGAGGUAUCAGCCCUGCCGGCCACCUUGGACUCCCUGUCCAUCCACCAGCUCGCGGCCCAGGGGGAGCUGAGCCAACUGAAGGAGCAUCUGAGGAAAGCACUGGGGAGAGUGGGCAGGGGUGCAUCCCAGUGGUACCACCCCCCUCCUGCCAGGAGACAACCUCAUCAACAAGCCGGACGAGCGAGGCUUCACCCCCCUCAUCUGGGCCUCCGCCUUUGGAGAGAUCGAGACCGUCCGCUUCUUGCUUGAGUGGGUGCGUCCCAGCCUGGCUGGGGGCUUCGUGGGGACUCGAGGGCGGGCCAGGGUCUCAGCUGAGUCUGCUGGUGCUAUGUCUGUAAGAUGGAGCUAACAUGGGGACCCCAAGAUUGCAGGGGAUGCACCCACCCCUCCUUUUGCCCCCCCUUCUGUCACUGUCCCCCUCUGUUCCCCCCAGGGUGCCGACCCCCACAUCCUGGCUAAGGAGCGGGAGAGCGCCCUGUCACUGGCCAGCACGGGUGGCUACACAGACAUUGUGGGGCUGCUGCUGGAGCGCGACGUGGACAUCAACAUCUAUGACUGGAAUGGAGGGACACCACUUUUGUACGCCGUGCGUGGGAACCAUGUGAAGUGCGUGGAGGCCUUGCUGGCCCGAGGAGCUGAUCUCACCACUGAGGCAGACUCUGGCUACACCCCAAUGGACCUCGCCGUGGCCCUGGGAUAUAGGAAAGUGCAACAGGUGAUCGAGAACCACAUCCUUAAACUCUUCCAGAGCAACCUGGUGCCCGCCACCCCUGAGUGAACGCCGUCUGCCAGGGACUCAGACACUCAGGGAACAAAAUGGUCGACCCAGAGCUGGGGGAACCCAGAACUGGCUUCAAAGGCAGCUCCUGGACAGACGGUGGGGGGGGUGCCCUUUCCAAGAGGAACCAAUAAACCUUCUGUGCAG